rnacentral:rRNA from 1 species
GACGAACGCUGGCGGCGUGCUUAACACAUGCAAGUCGAACGGAAAGGCCUGUCCUUCCUUGUGUUGGACGGGUACUCGAGUGGCGAACGGGUGAGUAACACGUGAGUGAUCUGCCCCCAACUUGGGUAUAAGCCUGGGAAACUGGGUCUAAUUCCCGAUAGGACUGCAGGGUGGUGCCUGUGGUGGAAAACGAUUUUCUAGUGGUUGGGGAUGAGCUCGCGGCCUAUCAGCUUGUUGGUGGGGUAAUGGCCUACCAAGGCGGCGACGGGUAGCCGGCCUGAGAGGGUGGACGGGCACAUUGGGACUGAGAUACGGCCCAGACUCCUACGGGAGGCAGCAGUGGGGAAUAGUGCACAAUGGGCGGAAGCCUGAUGCAGCGACGCCGCGUGGGGGAUGACGGCCUUCGGGUGGUAAACUCCUUUCGACCGCGAGGAAGCCGCCUGGUUGGAAGGGUGGUGACGGUAGUGGUAGAAGAAGCACCGGCUAACUACGUG